rnacentral:rRNA from 1 species
UACGGAGGGAGCUAGCGUUAUUCGGAAUUACUGGGCGUAAAGGGCUCGUAGGCGGCCAACUAAGUCAUACGUGAAAUCCCCCGGCUUAACCGGGGAACUGCGUCUGAUACUGGAUGGCUUGAGUUCGGGAGAGGGAUGCGGAAUUCCAGGUGUAGCGGUGAAAUGCGUAGAUAUCUGGAGGAACACCGGUGGCGAAGGCGGCAUCCUGGACCGAUACUGACGCUGAGGAGCGAAAGCCAGGGGAGCAAACGGG